AGAGUUUGAUCAUGGCUCAGGACGAACGCUGGCGGCGUGCUAAUACAUGCAAGUCGAGCGAAUCAAUAGGAGCUUGCUCCUGUUGGUUAGCGGCGGACGGGUGAGUAACACGUGGGCAACCUGCCUGUAAGACUGGGAUAACACCGGGAAACCGGUGCUAAUACCGGAUAAUCCUUUUCUUCUCAUGAAGAAAAGCUGAAAGUCGGUGCAAGCUGACACUUACAGAUGGGCCCGCGGCGCAUUAGCUAGUUGGUGAGGUAACGGCUCACCAAGGCGACGAUGCGUAGCCGACCUGAGAGGGUGAUCGGCCACACUGGGACUGAGACACGGCCCAGACUCCUACGGGAGGCAGCAGUAGGGAAUCUUCCACAAUGGACGAAAGUCUGAUGGAGCAACGCCGCGUGAGCGAUGAAGGCCUUCGGGUCGUAAAGCUCUGUUGUUAGGGAAGAACAAGUACCGGAGUAACUGCCGGUACCUUGACGGUACCUAACCAGAAAGCCACGGCUAACUACGUGCCAGCAGCCGCGGUAAUACGUAGGUGGCAAGCGUUGUCCGGAAUUAUUGGGCGUAAAGCGCGCGCAGGCGGUCCUUUAAGUCUGAUGUGAAAGCCCACGGCUCAACCGUGGAGGGUCAUUGGAAACUGGGGGACUUGAGUGCAGAAGAGGAAAGCGGAAUUCCACGUGUAGCGGUGAAAUGCGUAGAGAUGUGGAGGAACACCAGUGGCGAAGGCGGCUUUCUGGUCUGUAACUGACGCUGAGGCGCGAAAGCGUGGGGAGCAAACAGGAUUAGAUACCCUGGUAGUCCACGCCGUAAACGAUGAGUGCUAAGUGUUAGAGGGUUUCCGCCCUUUAGUGCUGCAGCUAACGCAUUAAGCACUCCGCCUGGGGAGUACGGCCGCAAGGCUGAAACUCAAAUGAAUUGACGG
rnacentral:rRNA from 1 species